GUUGCAAACAAGUUGCGUGCUCAACCAUCGGGCUAAUUAAUUUUUAUCACACGUCUUUGUUUUUCAUCUCUACCUUGUUUUUGUGUUUGAAAAAUCUAUUGUUUGUAAAUUACUGGAUGUAAAUGUUGGUUGAAAGUAACGGCUAGCAUGCAGGGAGAAUCACCUAUGUCGUCUUUCCUUGAAUGCAACAUUUUUUUUUUAAAAAAAAA
rnacentral:misc_RNA from 1 species